GUGCUUUGGUAGCACAUAGACUAAAAUUGGAACCAUACAGAGAAGAUUAGAUGGCCUCUGUGCAAGGAUGACAUGCAAAUUCGUGAAGCGUUCCAUAUUUUA